GAUGAACGCUGGCGGCGUGCCUAAUACAUGCAAGUCGAGCGAACGGACGAGAAGCUUGCUUCUCUGAUGUUAGCGGCGGACGGGUGAGUAACACGUGGAUAACCUACCUAUAAGACUGGGAUAACUUCGGGAAACCGGAGCUAAUACCGGAUAAUAUUUUGAACCGCAUGGUUCAAAAGUGAAAGACGGUCUUGCUGUCACUUAUAGAUGGAUCCGCGCUGCAUUAGCUAGUUGGUAAGGUAACGGCUUACCAAGGCAACGAUGCAUAGCCGACCUGAGAGGGUGAUCGGCCCCCCUGGAACUGAGACACGGUCCAGACUCCUACGGGAGGCAGCAGUAGCGAAUCUUCCGCAAUGGGCGAAAGCCUGACGGAGCAACGCCGCGUGAGUGAUGAAGGUCUUCGGAUCGUAAAACUCUGUUAUUAGGGAAGAACAUAUGUGUAAGUAACUGUGCACAUCUUGACGGUACCUAAUCAGAAAGCCACGGCUAACUACGUG
rnacentral:rRNA from 1 species